GAUGAACGCUGGCGGCGUGCAUAACACAUUCAAGUCGAACGGACUUUGGGACUUCGGUCCUGAAGUUAGUGGCGGACGGGUGAGUAACGCGUGAGCAACCUGCCUUUGAUAGGGGGAUAACAGAGGGAAACUUCUGCUAAUACCGCAUAACGCAUCGAGGUCGCAUGGCUUUGAUGCCAAAGAUACGUCGAUCAAAGAUGGGCUCGCGUCCGAUUAGGUAGUUGGUGAGGUAACGGCUCACCAAGGCCACGAUGCAUAGCCGACCUGAGAGGGUGAUCGGCCACACUGGGACUGAGACACGGCCCAG
rnacentral:rRNA from 1 species